rnacentral:tRNA from 1 species
AAAAAUAUAACAUAUUUAAUGUGAACAAUUUCGACUUGUUAAAUAGUUUAAUUGACUUAUUUUUG